UGUCGUCGACCCGUCGUUCCCCAUCCAGCUUGCUCGUGCUGGCCCUGCCGACCGGCGGAGGCGGCAGUGGAGCGUGGGCUCCCAGGCGCGGCAGUGGAGCGGAGGUCUGCUUUGGCCGGUGGCGGAGGCCUAUGCGGCGCAAGCCGCGGGAGGCGUCCGGCAGGCGGUGGCGGAGGUGGAGCGAGGGGCGUGCGGCGGCGGAGGAGGCGCAGCGUGGGCCGGGGGCGGCGUGCGGCGGCCGGCAGCGGAGGCGUAGCUGCGGGCCGGGGGUGUGCGUGCGGCGGCGCGCAGGUGCCGGGUGGGCGGCAGCGCCGGACGUGCUUUGCCUCUUCAAGUGCAGCACUGCGCUCUGCCCCUUCGUCUGCUAGUUCUUCUGAGCUCCAGAGGAAAAAAAAACGUGGUGUUGGUCCCAGCCAUGAGCGAUUACUCAAGCAUGCUGCGAAGCUACUGGAUGAUGGAGGAGGAAGACGAUGACAUGCAUUUCUUGCUUGAUGAUGAUGAAGCAGAGGUGGCGACAUACAAUCUCCUGGUGGAAGCAGAGAGCUCUCACACGCGUCGUCGAAGUGAUGCUCCACCAAAGGUUAUUCGGCCGAGGGACCUUCCUUCUGGUCAUAAGAGGAUCAAUGCCGACUACUUCGUUCCAAAUCCAGUGUACCACGACAAGCAAUUCCGUAGAAGGUUUCGGAUGUUUCGUCCUUUAUUUAAGUGCAUUAAAGAGCCUGUUAAAAAUCAUGAUGACUACUUCAAAAAGAAAUGUGAUGACUGGCUAGGAAGGACUAUCGGUUCUCCAAAAGUGUGUCGCGUCGAUGCGCAUUCUUGCUUACGGACUCCCGGCGGAUGCUGUUGACGAGUACGUGUGUAUUGGUGAUUCAACUGCUAGACAAGCUUUGAAUCAUUUCUGUCAGGCUGUCAUUGAAGUUUUUGGCGAGCAGUACCUAUGGGCACCCAACGAAGCCGAUGUAGCUAGGCUUCUUCAAGAGGGGCAGAAUCGUGGGUUCCCGGGGAUGCUAGGCAGCAUAGACUGCAUGCACUGGGAGUGGAGGAAUUGCACCACAGUGUGGUAGGUUCAGUUCACGGGCAGAGGAAAGCAUUCAACUAUGUUUUUAGAGGCUGUUGCAUCGCAUGAUCUAAGGAUAUGGCAUGCUUACUUUGGCAUGCCGGGGAGUAACAAUGACAUUAAUGUUCUUCACAGAUCCCCUGUGUUCUCCAGUUA